AUGAAUCAUGCACGAGAUAAAAUUAGCAGUUUGAGAUAUUAUUAUUCUAGAUGCAGAACCUUCAGCAGAAUGGAUUCAGACUUUUCAUGCUUGGGCCCCAGGAUGCUGCAUCUCGGAGGGACUUGGAGACCUCCCUCGGGAUUCAGGGCCUCAAGAACAGAACCAUCCAUGUUAUUUCCUGGUGUCUCCAGGCUGGUACGACCCAUCACUUAUGCAUCACCCACUGUUUUGAUUAAGCUUUCCUUCAAAGAUAACCCAAAUAUCUUAGGGUGUAAAACCAUGUCAUAUCUGAUAACUUCAUCUCUUCCCUGCAACCCUUGGAGAACAUUGAACCACUUCAGAGACAACAAAAUGACCUCUGAAUGGACUCAAUCUUGUUUACAUUGUGUUUACAGUGCGUAAUUGUAAGAAAGAUCU
rnacentral:lncRNA from 1 species